AUAAAAAGUGGCUGGGCGCGGUGGCUCACCCAUUACCCAUGUCUCACUUUCUGUUCUGUUCCUCUCUAGACACUCUGGCUUUGGGUACUUUUGGCUUGUAUGUUCUUUUCUGCCACAGGCCUUAGCAUAUGCUCUUAACCCUCUUGCUUAACCCUUAUUAACACCUAUUCAUGCUUCAGCUCUCAGCGUAACCUCACCAUGUCAAAUAACCACUACAGACUCAGUAAUACCAUGUGCUUUCCUCUGGACUUUGGACAAGAAGUUUGUAUUUAUUUGGUGGUUCUGUGAUUGUCUCUCUCCUCAGCAAGAUAUAUGAAGGUUCUGAGUCUGGUUUUGUUCACCCUUGUAUCCCUGUGCUAUACCAUAAUAGGACUCAAUAGACAAAUACUUGCUAAAUUAAUGAAUGAGGUGGGUGAUAAAUAUGGCAAAUGUCCAUAUACAAAGGAGGCGUGACAAUAAAGGAAGGCUUUUUUUUUUGUUUUUUUUUUUUUAAAUCAAGGCGUUUCCAAACUCUCUCUGAAGGUAAUUCUAGGAGGAAUGGUGUUUGUUUGUUUUUAAUAUUUUGAGCAAUGGGACAGGUUCAUUAAAAUAAGUGUAUAACCCUCUAAGAUAACUAUUUAAGGAGAAUCCUAUUUGGGAUUGAUAAAUUCUCGUAUGUUACAGAAUAACUAAUCAUAGUUUAGUAAUAUAUUUUACUUCUUUGUUUCCUCCACAGUCUUGCAAAAUGAGUGGGAGAUGAUGGGGUGGAUUUAAGUAUUAAUUAGUUGAUGCAGUUGGCUGCUAAUCCAGUAAAUGGCAUGCUGCUGACUUUUCUCUUUUGGAAAUUGGUUUUACUUUGCUUGCCCAGCUUUUGGAUCAAGGCGGGAUGAGGACGGGUAGAAGGGAGAUGGGCAGGUUGUAUUUAAGGAAGGCAGAGCUCAUCCUCCUCUACCUUGUGAUCUUUAAGGUUGUAACUUUCCACCCAAUUCUGUUCCAGUGAAAUGAUAACAUCUUUCCUUCUCUCUGUAUUCCCUCAACCUCAGACCAUUCUUCACUUUACCUCUCCACCAAAUCACAAAGCCUCAACCUCAGAACAGCAUCUCCCCCUCAGCCACAGGUUCCUUGGCAUAUGUGUGGGUGUCCAGCGAGAGAGAAAUGAGAAGUACAAGGAACAAGUAUGGCUAAUAUUACUUUAAAUACAAACAAAUAAAGGCAGAUAGCUAAGUCUUUCAUAGAAAGAGGA
rnacentral:lncRNA from 10 species